ACAAGCGGUGGAGGUAUGUGGUUUAAUUCGAUGCAACGCGAAGAACCUUACCUGGUCUUGACAUCCCAGAGACCCUUAGGAAACUAGGGGGUGCUUCCAUCUGGAAGAAUCUGGAGACAGGUGCUGCAUGGCUGUCGUCAGCUCGUGUCGUGAGAUGUUGGGUUAAGUCCCGCAACGAGCGCAACCCUUGCCUUUAGUUGCCAGCAGUUCGGCUGGGCACUCUAAAGGGACUGCCGGUGUUAAACCGGAGGAAGGUGGGGAUGACGUCAAGUCCUCAUGGCCUUUAUGACCAGGGGGCUACACACGUACUACAAUGGCCGAUACAAAGGGCAGCGACACUGCGAGGUGAAGCCAAUCCCGUAAAAUCGGUCUCAGUUCGGAUUGAAGUCUGCAACUCGACUUCAUGAAGCUGGAAUCGCUAGUAAUCGCAGAUCAGCCAAGCUGCGGUGAAUACGUUCCCGGGCCUU
rnacentral:rRNA from 1 species